rnacentral:rRNA from 1 species
UACGAAGGGGGCUAGCGUUGCUCGGAAUGACUGGGCGUAAAGGGCGCGUAGGCGGAUGGCACAGUCAGAUGUGAAAUUCCCGGGCUUAACCUGGGGGGCUGCAUUUGAUACGUGUUGUCUUGAGUUCGGAAGAGGGUCGUGGAAUUCCCAGUGUAGAGGUGAAAUUCGUAGAUAUUGGGAAGAACACCGGUGGCGAAGGCGGCGACCUGGUCCUUGACUGACGCUGAGGCGCGAAAGCGUGGGGAGCAAACAGG